UACAGAGGGGGCAAGCGUUAUUCGGAAUUAUUGGGCGUAAAGGGCGCGUAGGCGGUCGGACAAGUGGAAGGUGAAAUCCCCGGGCUCAACCUGGGAACUGCCCUCCAAACUGUUUGACUUGAGUCCGGGAGAGGUGAGUGGAAGUUCCCAGGUGUAGCGGUGAAAUGCGUAGAUAUUGGGAGGAACACCAGUGGCGAAGGCGGCUCACUGGACCGGAACUGACGCUGAGG
rnacentral:rRNA from 1 species